rnacentral:rRNA from 1 species
UACGUAGGGUGCAAGCGUUGUCCGGAAUUAUUGGGCGUAAAGAGCUCGUAGGCGGUUUGUUGCGUCGGCUGUGAAAUCCCGAGGCUCAACCUCGGGUCUGCAGUCGAUACGAGCAAACUAGAGUGUUGCAGGGGAGACUGGAAUUCCUGGUGUAGCGGUGAAAUGCGCAGAUAUCAGGAGGAACACCGGUGGCGAAGGCAGGUCUCUGGGCCACUACUGACGCUGAGAAGCGAAAGCAUGGGGAGCGAACAGG